ACUCAAAUGAAUUGACGGGGGCCCGCACAAGCGGUGGAGCAUGUGGUUCAAUUCGAUGCAACGCGAAAAACCUUACCUACCCUUGACAUCUUCGGAAUCUCUCAGAGAUGAGAGAGUGCCUUCGGGAACCGAAAGACAGGUGAUGCAUGGCUGUCGUCAGCUCGUGUCGUGAGAUGUUGGGUUAAGUCCCGUAACGAGCGCAACCCCUGUCCUUAGUUGCUACCAGUUCGGCUGAGCACUCUAAGGAGACUGCCGGUGAUAAACCGGAGGAAGGCGGGGAUGACGUCAAGUCAUCAUGUCCCUUACGGGUAGGGCUACACACGUGCUACAAUGGGCAGUACAAAGGGUUGCCAAGUCGCAAGAUGGAGCUAAUCCCAAAAAGCUGUUCGUAGUCCGGAUUGGAGUCUGCAACUCGACUCCAUGAAGUUGGAAUCGCUAGUAAUCGCAAAUCAGCAUGUUGCGGUGAAUACGUUCCCGGGCCUUGUACACACCGCCCGU
rnacentral:rRNA from 1 species